UCUGUCUGCUUGAGCUCUACAGCACAUUCACACUAACAUUGCCUGUUCAUAUUGUUUAAAAAUGAUGAAUUACCUGGAGUCUUUGUGUGUCCUUAGGAAGUUAAGAGCUGAAAUAUUCUGGUAAAGUCUUCAACUGAAGUCUGAAGCUCACUGGACUUCUGUAGCGAUAUUUAUACUCAGAAGAGUCCCUUUGCCCUCAUGGACCCAGACUCUGCUGGCCACCGAGAUUAGAUAUUCACAUCACAGCAUUGCAGCAUUGUGAGCUUACUGUCAUUCAUAUGUGGCUAAGACAAAAAAAAAAAAAAAAAAAGAUGAAGAAGAAAAAGAAAAAGAAAAAAAGAUUUGUGGUUUGAGACUGCAUACACCUGGACUUCUUUGUGGCAAAGAAGUGAAAGAAAGCAACAACAAUCUCCACAGGUUUCUGUCCUCCACAAGCCUGCCCCAACAGUGGCAUAGCCAAGAGGCAGAAAAAUAACACCGCUGCCAGUAGAAGCUGUUGUGGUGGUGAAGACGAAGACAUACCGAAAACGGAAACCCGUCUUCUGUCACUACAGAAAUGACAGGACUUUUAUUUUGGAGUGACGACAUGACGUCAUAAGACUGCGCCGAGCUCCUACAUCUGCUGUGACUCUGCUGAAUAAAGAUGGAGUUUAUUAAAGAGGAAACUGAAGAAAAUAAGAUUAAAGAAGAGUCUGAAGACAUGAAGAUUGAAGAAACAUUCAGAGUGAAACAUGAAGAAACUGAGGAACAAACAGGUUGGUUUUAUUCUCACAGCUGAACUCAGUCAUUUGAUCAUUAUUAAAAUGUCCAGCUCUACAGAAAUAGACAAUAUUUUGAGCAACAUUAAACCCAAUAUCUACUUAUGGAUAGAGAACUGUUCAUGCUCAAAAGUGCUGUAUCAACAUUUAAACAUACCUGAACAUAAAUAGCAGUAAUUGAACAUUAAAUCAAGCAAUAAAUAAGUCCUAAUUUAAAUAUUUUACAUCAAUAAUCAUUUCAUGUGUGUGUCAUAUGGAGGAAAGUCAGCAGGGGAAGUGUGUAAAACAUUUUGAAGUAGAACCGAGUGAACUGCUAAUAUUUGAUGAAACCAGUGAAAAAUAUUUACCUUGUCAUUUGUGGUUCAUGUGCAGGUUAGAAAUCAAUGAGCAGAUUGAGACUAGAGGUGAAAUGAUGUGAAAAUUACAUACCGUGAUUAUUGUGACAAAAUUAUCAUGGUUAUCAAUUACAUGUUUUUGUUAAAGUUCUGAUAUAAACUGAAAUAAGUUCAAAAACAUGUUCAGUCCAAAUUCAAAUCCAAAGUUUUUGACGUCCACACUGUGUAUCACAGCUGUUCAGAUCCGAUUUGUGCGUUCAUGCCACUCUUUCAUUUUCUGGAAUAUCUGCAUUGGUUUCAUUGCAUUGCAUUGGUAGGCAUAAGC